AAACUAUACUGUCAACCUGUGACAAGCAUUAGAUUUUCCCAGGGCGAGGCUCAGCCAUUGCACUCCAGCUGUCUGACCUUUGUGAAUUCCCCAAAUGUGUGAAUCUUGAUUGCAUACUUUGUGCUAGUGGGGAGCUGUGUUUGUGCGCCUCCCUC
rnacentral:snRNA from 1 species